rnacentral:rRNA from 1 species
AACGAACGCUGGCGGCAUGCCUAACACAUGCAAGUCGAACGAAAACUUCGGGUCUAUUGGCGCACGGGUGCGUAACACGUGGUAACUUGCCCUUAGGUUCGGAGUAACUCCCCUAAAGAUGUGUUAAUACCGCAUGAUGUCAUCGGAGCAAAGAGUUAUCGCCUUUUGAUGGGCCCGCGUUAGAUUAGCUAGUUGGUAGGGUACAAGCCUACCAACGCGACGAUCCAUAGCUGGUCUGAGAGGAUGAUCAGUCACACUGGGACUGAGACACGGCCCAGACUCCUACGGGAGGCAGCAGUGGGGUAUAUUGGACAAUGGGCGAAAGCGUGAUCAAGCAAUGCCGGGUGAGUGAUGAAGGCCUUAGGGUUGUAAAGCUCCUUUACCCGGGAUGAUAAUGACAGUACCGGGAGAAUAAGCUCCGGCUAACUACGUG